UCUGAUAUCCAUGGCUUCACUAUCUCUAGGUAGCUGAUUAGGCUUCUAGUACUGAGCAUGAUAUCUUUCUUGUGGAGUGGUCAUAAAGUCCUAUUACAGAGAUACUGGUUAGAACCAAGGCUUGUGUGCUGCUAUAGAGUCUUUCGGGUUAUCAAGUAGUGGUGAUACUUUUUGUGGUUCACAGUCAACACACCUGAGCAGAACUGUUGAUUGCAUGCCUCCUUUGGAAUCACCCUCAGGAAACAUGAUCGCUAGACCUUGGAGAAGAGGCUCUCAGCAUAUGUGCUACCUUUCCUGCUCAGCUCUGGUCAGCCAGUGGUGAUGGACCCUUUUUAUGUCAUGUGAAACCGGUGAGGGGCAGCCUUUGGGCCGGUGAAGUUAAAAAGAAUCAAGCGGGUAAAUAGAAGUCAGGCUUGUGAUCAGAAAGAUAAAUAUGUUAUUUGCUGACCUUUCAUUUAAAGGAUACAGAUCAUCACAAGGCACAGGAAAAGAAUGAAGGUUUUCAACCUGAUAUUUGCAAGUCUCAAUCAUUGGCAUGGACUUUGGUGCAAAUCAAAGGCAGAGGAGGAGGAGGAGGAGGAGGAGACCUCAAAUAACAGAAAGAAGAUAUUCAAAUGACAAGAAAGUGGAAUAUAAAAAGGAAACUGAGAUUACAGGCCCAUUCUGUCUUUAUAAUAGAGCUAAUGUCUUGAAAUUGGAAUUAUAUAGUUUACUUGAAUAAUCGUGUUGAUAUGAACAUUCAAUCUCUUAAUGAGGAGAGGCGACUGGUGAAGGUGCACUGCAGUUACAGUGGAGACCCCAGCACAUUUGACAUGCCAGGAGCAUGGGAUCUCCUCUGAGGACAGAAGACACAGUGGAGUUGAGCUUGCCUGAGUCUACAAAGCAAGCCCAGACGAUGGAAUCCAAGUAGCAAGCUGAAGGUUUUCCUGAAACCUUGCGAGAAUGCAGUGCACCUGGGAUAUCAGCUCAUGUUUUCUCCUGCAUGUCAUGCUUUGAGGUUGGCAAAGUACAUUGAAAUGUUU
rnacentral:lncRNA from 1 species